rnacentral:tRNA from 1 species
GCCAGUGUGGCAUAGUGGCUUAAGGGUUGGACUGUCACUCUGGGGACCAGGGUUCGAUUCCCCACUUUGCCA